rnacentral:rRNA from 1 species
UACGAAGGGGGCUAGCGUUGUUCGGAUUUACUGGGCGUAAAGCGCACGUAGGCGGAUAGUUAAGUCGGGGGUGAAAUCCUGGAGCUCAACUCCAGAACUGCCUUCGAUACUGGCGAUCUUGAGUCCGGAAGAGGUGAGUGGAACUCCUAGUGUAGAGGUGGAAUUCGUAGAUAUUAGGAAGAACACCAGUGGCGAAGGCGGCUCACUGGUCCGGUACUGACGCUGAGGUGCGAAAGCGUGGGGAGCAAACAGG